CAAUAGCGUAUAUUAAAGUUGUUGCAGUUAAAAAGCUCGUAGUUGGAUUUCUGGUGGGAGCGAUCGGUCUGGCGCUUAGCGCGAGUACUUGCAUCGUCUCCGGCCAUCCUUGGGGAGAGUCUGUCUGGCAUUAGGUUGUCGGGCAGAGGAUCCUCAUCGUUUACUGUGAAAAAAUUAGAGUGUUCAAAGCAGGCUUAUGCCGUUGAAUAUAUUAGCACGGAAUAAUAAGAUAGGACUUUGGUACUAUUUUGUUGGUUUGCGCACCAAAGUAAUGAUUAAUAGGGACAGUUGGGGGUAUUCGUAUUCCGUUGUCAGAGGUGAAAUUCUUGGAUUUACGGAAGACGAACUACUGCGAAAGCAUUUACCAAGGAUGUUUNCAUUAA
rnacentral:rRNA from 1 species